UCAGGGGUAAACGGAAAAGACCCGAAAUUUCCGAAGAGGGAGAUUCACGUCUUCUCGCGGGUUCGACGCAUCCACUCCUCUCCGACGACCCUGCCCCCGUUCGGACUCGUCCGGUGCGUGGCGGUGGGGUUGCAGAGGGUGGUGUGGAGGCCCGCGGCGGACCGCACUUCUCCCUUAGUAGGACGUCGUGACCCGUCCGGUCAUGGUCAUAAGGGUGUAGGGUGGAGCCUGGCCGAUCGUGCUUGCACGUCUUCGGUCAGACCCCCGCGCCCCGGCCAUGAAUUUCGGUCGGUAUCGAAUGACAGUGUUAGGUCACUUGCCGGGGGAGGAAACUCCUUCCAGUGAGUGCGUGCGGCUCUCGACAAGGUGCUGGGAUGUCGGUCAAGGCGGGCUCCCGUCCGUCUGGCCCCGCUCGGCCCUGUUGGUCUUGCUGCUCUCACGCUGGCCUAUCUACACUCGUCUACGGCGAAUCAGUUUUGGGCUCUUGUCCGACCCGUCUUGAAACACGGACCAAGGAGUUCAGCGUGUACGCGAGUCAUUGGGUGGUGAAACCCAAAGGCGUAAUGAAAGUGAAGGGAACUUUACGUUUCUGAGGGAGGAUGAGUCGGUUACCCGCAAGGGGCUGCUCCGCACUCCCGGGGCGUCUCUUUCUCAUUGCGAGUGGAGGCGCACCCAGAGCGUACACGCUGAUACCCGAAAGAUGGUGAACUAUGCCUGGCCAGGACGAAGCCAGGGGAAACCCUGGUGGAGGUCCGCAGCGAUUCUGACGUGCAAAUCGAUCGUCGGAGCUGGGUAUAGGGGCGAAAGACCAAUCGAACCAUCUAGUAGCUGGUUCCCUCCGAAGUUUCCCUCAGGAUAGCUUGCGCUCAUGUGAAAGAGUCUCAUCCGGUAGAGCGAAUGAUUAGAGGCCUUGGGGUCGAAACGACCUCAACCUAUUCUCAAACUCCAAAUAGAUGAGAACUCCGGCUUUCUUGAACUUUGUUUUUGAAGCCGGGGGCUCGGAUCAGAGUGCCAAGUGGGCCAAUUUUGGUAAGCAGAACU
rnacentral:rRNA from 1 species